UGAGAUAUGGUAUGAUGAAAGAAACCUUUCUUCUUCUAGCAAAAUACUUCAGAAUUUUAUCUUGCAAAAAAAUAAAAAAAAUAUAUAGCUUGCCUCCUCAAUGAUAAAUUAAAUUCCUACCAAAGCCAUAGUUGAUCUCAUUGAAAACCUUAUUCAUAUGCUGCUUGUUUUUUGCAUUGAGCUUUGUCAAACUAUUGUGACCCAUGUGAGAAACUUUUCAUACUUUCAUGAUCAAGAUCACGUACACUCCACC
rnacentral:lncRNA from 1 species